UGCCAGCCGCCGCGGUAAUACGGAGGUCCCAAGCGUUGUUCGGAAUCACUGGGCGUAAAGCGUUCGUAGGUGGUUGAAAAAGUUAGUGGUGAAAUCCCAGAGCUUAACUCUGGAACUGCCAUUAAAACUUUUCAGCUAGAGUAUGAUAGAGGGAAGCAGAAUUUCUAGUGUAGAGGUGAAAUUCGUAGAUAUUAGAAAGAAUACCAAUUGCGAAGGCAGCUUUCUGGAUCAUUACUGACACUGAGGAACGAAAGCAUGGGUAGCGAAGAGGAUUAGAUA
rnacentral:rRNA from 1 species